ensembl:lncRNA
AAUAAGUGUGAAAUAUUUAGGAAAUGUCUUUUCCUUCAUUAAAGGCAAUGUUCUAAAAUUUAUUUCAAGCCCUUAUCUUUGAUUAAAGGCUAAAGUGCAGUACUCCCCCAUGUUUGACAAUUUUUUUCUGUUGAAUUUAUUACAUUACCGUUUCAAAAUUUGACAAAUUUUUACUGUUGAAUUUAUUACAUUACUGUUUCAAAGGUUGAACCUAUUUUUUAAAUGGUUUUCCUUGUACAUGUCUGUCUCCUUUGUUUCAAUUUAGCCGUGUUUAUGUCAUAACUGCCUAGUUCCUUGUAAGUAAAAUCAUUCUUGGCCAGUAUAAUUCUGUCUGAUUCUGAUUCUUCUACUGAAUGACAACAGGGGAAAACAUCUGCUAAUCUGCCAUCAUACCCGUGUUCAUCUGAGGUAGACUAGGAUACAUAGUAAUGGAAUUUUAUGCAUAUUCAGCAGACUGACCCCAGGUGACCCCAAGUGCUCCCAAUCCGGGGAAAAGGUCGUGUGAUGUCAUGGCUCUGGGUGCUGAUCCAGACGCUGCAGGACAGCGAGUUUGCGGAAGUAAUGAGUGAGCAUUACUGAUGACGAAAGACACCACAGAAUGAAGAAAUAACGGAAAGAGCGAAAGCUUGGCCAAGAACAGACACGAGGCUGUGUUGUCACUUCCAGUAAACUCAGAUAUUAUGUGUUGUUUGUGUGUGUGUGUGUGUGUGUGUGUGUGUGCGCUCAAUAGCUAGACCAAUAGGAACAGAAAAGUUUUAUUCUCCAUAAUCAGUAGAUUGGAAUGUUUUGCUUGGAUUAAGGGAUUGAGUGGCAUUGUUUGAUGGUAUGAGUUAUUGUGCUAAUUAGGUAAUUGCACAGUAUUUUGUAAUUGAUAAUAUUCAGAUUAUUGUUUUUAUUGAUUGACUGUAUUAUCAAAUUUUGUCUUGU